rnacentral:rRNA from 1 species
UAGGGAAUCUUCCGCAAUGGACGCAAGUCUGACGGAGCAACGCCGCGUGAGUGAAGAAGGGUUUCGGCUCGUAAAACUCUGUUGUUAAGGAAGAAUGACAGGCAGAGUAACUGCUGCCUGUGUGACGGUACUUAACCAGAAAGCCACGGCUAACUACGUGCCAGCAGCCGCGGUAAUACGUAGGUGGCAAGCGUUAUCCGGAAUUAUUGGGCGUAAAGCGCGCGUAGGCGGUUUUUUAAGUCUGAUGUGAAAGCCCCCGGCUCAACCGGGGAGGGUCAUUGGAAACUGGGGAACUUGAGUGCAGAAGAGGAGAGUGGAAUUCCAUGUGUAGCGGUGAAAUGCGCAGAGAUAUGGAGGAACACCAGUGGCGAAGGCGGCUCUCUGGACUGUAACUGACGCUGAUGUGCGAAAGCGUGGGGAUCAAACAGG